rnacentral:tRNA from 1 species
UCUAAUGUGGCAGACUAGUGCGAUGAAUUUAAGAUUCAUAUAUAAAUAAAUAUUUUAUUAGAA